rnacentral:rRNA from 1 species
CUUCAGUGGGGUAACGAACGCAACCCUCAUUGCCUGUUACAAGUGUCAGGCGAGACUGCCCAGCUUUCAGUUUGGAAGGCGGGGACGGCGAUAUGUUUUGAGAAAACCUCUCGUAGGCGCGACGGCGCCGGAGAAAGAAAAUUUUCAGUAGAAAAUUUUCGUGGUUUUCGAAAGACAUAUCGCCGUCCCCACCCCUUAUAGAUUGAAAGCUGGGAGGAAGGUGAGGAUGACGCCAGAUCAGCAUGGCCCUUUGAUACCCUGGGCUACACACGUGAUACAAUGGCGCGUACAACGCGAUGCGACGGGGAAACCCUGAGCAAAUCGUCAGAAAGCGCGCCCUAGUUCGGAUUGAGGUCUGCAACUCGACCUCAUGAAGUUGGAUUUGCUAGUAAUCUCGGGUCAGCUAUACCGAGGUGAAUACGUUCUCAAGUCUUGUACUCACAAUAAAAGCGCGCAGCAGCUUGGCGAUCUAAGUGGUUAAAGUCCACUCUC